rnacentral:rRNA from 1 species
GCGCAACCCUUGUCCUUAGUUACCAGCACGUUAUGGUGGGCACUCUAAGGAGACUGCCGGUGGACAAACCGGAGGAAGGUGGGGAUGACGUCAAGUCAUCAUGGCCCUUACGGCCUGGGCUACACACGUGCUACAAUGGUCGGUACAAAGGGUUGCCAAGCCGCGAGGUGGAGCUAAAUCCCAUAAAGCCGGUCGUAGUCCGGAUCGCAGUCUGCAACUCGACUGCGUGAAGUCGGAAUCGCUAGUAAUCGCGGAUCAGCAUGUCGCGGUGAAUACGUUCCCGGGUCUU